rnacentral:ncRNA from 1 species
UAUAAUCCGCCGCUUGCAGGUGCCCGCGGCCGCCGAAUUCCGGCGCGCGGGUGAAACGGGAAGCCGGUGGACAAGCCGGCGCUGCCCCCGCAACGGUAAGGCCCGGCGCGCAAGCGCCCAGGCGACGCAGAUAGCCACUGUCCUUUGGACGGGAAGGCGCGGCGCCGGCAUGGCCCAGCCCGGAGACCGGCCUGCGCGCCUCGGCCGGA